rnacentral:rRNA from 1 species
UACGAAGGGGGCUAGCGUUGCUCGGAAUCACUGGGCGUAAAGCGCACGUAGGCGGCUUUCUAAGUCAGGGGUGAAAUCCUGGAGCUCAACUCCAGAACUGCCUUUGAUACUGGAGAGCUUGAGUCCGGAAGAGGUGAGUGGAACUCCGAGUGUAGAGGUGAAAUUCGUAGAUAUUCGGAAGAACACCAGUGGCGAAGGCGGCUCACUGGUCCGGUACUGACGCUGAGACGCGAAAGCGUGGGGAGCGAACGAGG